AACGAACGCUGGCGGCAUGCCUUACACAUUCAAGUCGAACGGUAACGCGGGGCAACCUGGCGACGAGUGGCGAACGGGUGAGUAAUGCAUCGGAACGUGCCCGGUAGUGGGGGAUAACUGCUCGAAAGAGCAGCUAAUACCGCAUACGACCUGAGGGUGAAAGGGGGGGAUCGCAAGACCUCUCGCUAUCGGAGCGGCCGAUGUCGGAUUAGCUAGUUGGUGGGGUAAAAGCCCACCAAGGCAACGAUCCGUAGCUGGUCUGAGAGGACGACCAGCCACACUGGGACUGAGACACGGCCCAGACUCCUACGGGAGGCAGCAGUGGGGAAUUUUGGACAAUGGACGCAAGUCUGAUCCAGCCAUGCCGCGUGCGGGAAGAAGGCCUUCGGGUUGUAAACCGCUUUUGUCAGGGAAGAAAUCUUCUGAGUUAAUACCUCGGGAGGAUGACGGUACCUGAAGAAUAAGCACCGGCUAACUACGUGCCAGCCGCCGCGGUAACAC
rnacentral:rRNA from 1 species